rnacentral:lncRNA from 1 species
AAAUCUUUUUUUCAAUUUAAAAAGUUUAUAAUUCUCCAUUUCCUGUUCUGUCAGUGGAAUGAAUGCUGUGUAUAAACCUUUGAUAAAUAGUGCCAGUGAUGGUCAUUUUUGUUUUUCCUUAUAUAUAUUUUUCUCAUAUAAAGAAAGGAAAAAAGAAGAACACGAUCUUUGUGCAUUUCUAAAGGAUGUAUUCUUGUUGGAAACUUUCGAAAGUGUGUUAAGUUGAAGAAGAACUGAGUGCACCCAACCCUGGUCCUCCCUGUUCAUCUCGAGCGUGCCAGGGAAAAGACCCCAGGCAUGCGUGUGCCUCGAGUGACAACUCCUGGCCCUGACACUUGAGGACAUUCCUGUGUGUGAAGAAAUGUUCAGCUCCCGGACUCUGCAGCAGCCACUUCCUGCAACCCUCUGACAUGAAAUUCUCAUUGUGUUACUCUUUCAGUUGUGGAAUAUUGUGGUCUGCUGGUACUGCUUAUUAGUUGGUGGUGAAUGUCCUUAACCUUUAUUUCACUACUUCUUAAUACAAAGGUCUAAUUUUUUUGAUGCCUUAUAAUCUACAAACAAUGUAGAACAUGAUUUUAAAAUUUAGAAAUCCUUCAUAUGGUUACAAACAUGGGACUUCAUGGAAUUUGAAGAGUUCAUGUGUGUAGAAUAUAGCACCAUAUUCAGUUUUUAUAAAUGUAUUAAAUAUUACCAUGUGGCCUGUUAGUAUAAUAUUGCAAACAUAAGGAAUCUGGGCCAGGGCAACAAUUGGAUUGUACAGAAUGCAAAAGAAGAAUGUGAUAAGUUGAAUUAUUUGAACUACCAAAUACUCAGCAAUUUCUCAGGUAUUAGAAUUUUACAAACUGGAAGCAGUGUUUAUAUCUCUUUCCAAGAACACUGCUUUGAAAGCCACUCUCUUUUGUUGAACCUGUGUAAAGCAUUUUAAGAGCACAGCUGAAUUUUAUGACUUCUUUAAUUGUUAGAUGGUAGAGGAUUCUGUAGGCUUUGCUUGAAUUAUUGUCUUCUGUUUACAAUUUUUGUGAAAAGGGACCUACUUAAAAUUCUAUAGCUUCAGGAAAAGUGUAUAGUUGGAAUGAAGGUUAGAAAAGAAAAAUAUGUAAAUUGUACU